CAGAGCUCGCAAGACUCCCGUAAACCACUGUGAACUUACCUACUACCCGUUGCCUCGGCGGGUGCUCCGGGCGCGUCUUCGGGCGCUCCGGGGCGCUCCAGCCCGCCGGCGGCCCCUAAACUCUGUCUCUGUAACGUUGGCAUCUCCGAGCAGACUAUAAACGAGUCA
rnacentral:misc_RNA from 1 species